GUCUUCACAAAAUAUUUACAAAUUCAUCAAAAAGUUUAUAACUUUAAUUAUUGAAGUUGAUAAAGUUACCACCGAUUUGUAUUUUUUUUAGAACAUGCGCUGAAGUGCAAUUUUCCCAUUUUUUUCAUCAAAAACAAGACUUAAUUUUAUGCUAAAUAUGUGUGAAUAUGUGAAUUGUUGCUGAAUGAAAUUCAUUCCCCAUCAUUUGUGAAAACCAUGAAUUGACACUCAAAUGCUUUCAUGUUGGAGCUCUUUCAUUUGGUCAAAUAAAAGAAAACUACAAAAGCCCUUUGGCUUAUAUAUUGCUAUUGUUUCUAAAUUAAAUUGAAUUUUGAUUGUUUUCUAAAGAGUUGUAUAAUCUUUUAUAACAAUAUUUGCAUCUGUUUUUGUUUUCAUUCAGGUCAUUGACAGGUCAUUUGGCUUUGAUACUGCUGUUGAGGAAGCUCAGCGAGCCAUCAAUGCUGCGCAUGUUGAAGCUGAAAGUGUUGAGAAUGGUGUUGGUGUAGUGAAGCUAAUGGGCGGCUACAAUGUAUUCAAUGUAGAAAUCGCUAAUAUCAAAAGCUGAAAUCGCAAACAAAGCAUUCCAAAAUGAAUCAUUUCAUUUCAAGUGUGGUUUCUUAUCUCACAGAGGCUUCAUUGCAAUGUAUGCUACACUUGCCAGCCGAGAUGUGGACUGUUGUUUGAUUCCAGAAUCACCCUUCUUUCUGGAAGUGGUAGUGGAUGUAAUAGGUAUUGGUGAACAUGUUCUAAAACUCGUUAAUUUUGUUGUUUGGAAAUGUUGGAAAAGGCAAUAGCAACUCCUCCAACUGUUUCACCAAUAUGGUGUUCCCCAUUACUUGAGG